UACCCAAAAAUGUCAAUAUUUUGAAUGGAGU
rnacentral:piRNA from 1 species